rnacentral:rRNA from 1 species
AUCUAAAGCCAUUGCACCUUGAACAAGCCUGAUCCUGUCUGAUCUCAGAAGCUAAGCAGGGUCAGGCCUGGUUAGUACUUGGAUGGGAGAUCACCUAGGAAGACCAGGUGCUGCAGGUG